CAUGUAAAUCAUGAAACUUCAUUUUGGACACCUAACGGUAAAGACAUUCUAGCAUUAAUGCUUGAAAAAUAUGACUUUAUAAUUUGUUAUUUCUUAGAAACAUUAUUAUGACGUUUUGAUGGCGAUAACAACUGCCAAUAAUUCAAAGACUUGUAUUAAUAAAAUUAAUUGAUUUUCAAACUCAAAUUCAGUGGCCCAUUUCUAUACCAUGAUUGAUCAAAUUAUAUGAAAAUUACCCAUUUAUACACCUAGCAGUAGCAUUGCUGCGACAAAGUGGAACAUUUCAAAAUGUUUGAUUGACAAGACCUGUCAUGGUUCUGUCCUGCAGUCGCCUUUUUGGAGCUUGAGUGGCGCUUUUUGCCUCGCCUUUCCCUCUCUCUCUCUCCCCCUCCCUCUUUCCCCCAGCAAUCAGCACCAACUUGGCCGCGCACCUGUCCUCAAUCAGCACUCAUCACUGCCUGCAUAAAAGCCUGCCAGAUCCAGGAAACCAUCGACAGAGUAUUGACAGUGACAGUAGUGGUACACAGGCCGACUCUCGCACUCUAGUUUGUUACAUCAUUGCCAAGGGUGAGUUACAACCAGACCAGGCCCAUUCUCUCCACGCGCAAAGAGCUGCAACAUUUCCUAGGCUUCGCCAAGUUCUACCGUCGAUUCCAGUCUCACCUCCACCAGUUCCCCAUUCCAUUGGACCCCUGCCGCAUCGCAAGCAUUUGAACGCCUGAAGGAACUUUUCACUUGUGCCCCCAUCCUGAGACACCCCAACCCUUCCCUACAGUUCGUCGUGGAAGUUGAUGCCUCUGACACAGGGGCUGGAGCCGUCCUCUCCCAGCGAGACCCUGUGUCCCAAAAAUUACAUCCCUGUGCUUUUUUUCCCCCGGCGCCUUUCCACAUCCGAGCAAAAUUACGAUGUGGGGAAUCGUGAGCUACUAGCCAUCGUCUGGGCCCUGGAGGAGUGGAGGCACUGGCUGGAGGGGACCACCGUUCCAUUUAUUAUAUGGACCGACCACAAAAAACUCACCGAUCUCCGUUCCGCUAAGCGGCUUAACACCCAGCAAGCUCGUUGUGCUUAUUUCUCAGCCGUUUCAAUUUCAGCUUCUCCUUCCGCCCCGGUUCCCGCAACGGCAAACCUGUCGCCUUCUCUCGUAUUUUUUCACCCCCCCUCCCGCCCAGUAGAACCAGAAUCCAUCCUUCCUUCAUCUUGCUUCAUUGGGGCAGCCCCUUGAAAGAUCGAACAAACGGUUAAGAAAGCUCAAAGAACCCAACCUGAUCCCAAGACCAUACCCCCUGACCGUCUCUUUGUGCCCGACUCCACCCACUCAGAAGUACUUCAAUGGGCCCGUAACUCCAAACUAACCUGUCAUCCCGGAAUCACCCGAACCAUGAAUAUCAUUCAACAACACUUCCGGUGGACCAGUCUGGCUAAAGACACCCGUGAGUUCGUCCAAGCCUGCUCUCUCUGUGCUUGAGGACAACCCUCACAUCAAGCCCCAGCUGGUCUGCUGCGCCCUUUACCCAUUCCGAGUCACCCUUGUUCCCACAUUUCCCUGGACUUCGUCACCGGCCUAGUCCCCUCUGAAGACUUCAUGGCAUUCCGAUGGACAUUGUGUCAGUCAGAGGUCCAAGGUCUGGCAAGAAUUCUGCAAGGCAGUGGGCGCGGCAGUCAAUCUGUCUUCCAGCAACCACCCCCAAUCCAACAGCCAGACGGAGCAGAAAUCAGCACCACGUUGGCCGCGUCCUCAAUCAGCACUCAGCACUGCCUGUAUAAAAGCCUGCCAGAUCCAGGAAACCAUCGCCAGAGUGUCGACAGUGACAGUAGUGUUACACAGGUCGACUCUCGCACUCUAGUUUGUAAGCACUCGACUUUACGCAAUCACACUCACCUCCUUGUGUUCUCCACCAUUAACUACAGGUAUACAGGUAUGUCAUAUGAAUUAUGCAAUAUUUGGGACAGGUGCUUGAUGACAAAGCCUAUUCAACAGCAUGAUGACAGUCAAAAUAACUGUAUAUUGUAUACUGUAUAACUGUAUUAAAGUAAC